CCUACGGGAGGCAGCAGUAAGGAAUCUUCCGCAAUGGGCGAAAGCCUGACGGAGCAACGCCGCGUGGGCGAUGAAGGCCUUCGGGUCGUAAAGCCCUUUUCUGUGGGACGAUAAUGACGGUACCACAGGAAUAAGCCACGGCUAACUACGUGCCAGCAGCCGCGGUAAUACGUAGGUGGCAAGCGUUGUCCGGAGUUAUUGGGCGUAAAGCGCCCGUAGGCGGGGGUGAAAGUCGGGUGUGAAAUCCCCCGACCAAAGCGGGGCCCCGCGCCCGAUACUCCACUCCUGGAGGGAAGCAGAGGAAGGCGGAAUUCCCGGUGUAGCGGUAAAAUGCGUAGAUACCGGGAGGAACACCGUUGGCGAAGGCGGCCUUCGGGGCUUCUCCUGACGCUGAGGGGCGAAAGCCUGGGGAGCGACCCGGAUUAGAUACCCCG
rnacentral:rRNA from 1 species